rnacentral:rRNA from 1 species
GAUGAACGCUGGCGGCGUGCCUAAUACAUGCAAGUCGAGCGAACAGACGAGGAUCUUGCUCCUCUGACGUUAGCGGCGGACGGGUGAGUAACACGUGGAUAACCUACCUAUAAGACUGGGAUAACUUCGGGAAACCGGAGCUAAUACCGGAUAAUAUAUUGAACCGCAUGGUUCAAUAGUGAAAGACGGUUUUGCUGUCACUUAUAGAUGGAUCCGCGCCGGAUUAGCUAGUUGGUAGGGUAACGGCUUACCAAGGCCACGAUGGGUAGCCGACCUGAGAGGGGGGUCGGCCACACUGGAACUGAGACACGGUCCAGACUCCUACGGGAGGCAGCAGACGGGAAUCUGCCGCAAUGGGCGAAAGCAUGACGGAGCAACGCCGAGUGAGUGACGAAGGUCUUCGGAUCGUAAAACUCUGUUAUUAGGGAAGAACAGAUGUGUAAGUAACUAUGCACGUCUUGACGGUACCUAAUCAGAAAGCCACGGCUAACUACGUG